GGGGAUGUAAGGCUCUCGACAAAAAUUGAUCUUUUACAAACUGCCAUCUGGGGAUCGCGCUGUCUCCCCAUAGAUCCGUCCAGCGCAUUCUAAGUGCUAAUAACACUAAUGAAGGAGAGAACGCUACAGUUGCAAAACUGCGAGCACUCUUCGCUGCAGCUCCUGUAGCUGCGUAAAUCUUUCCCCCUUUGUGGGAAAGUCGCAUCCUUGCUGACGUCCGAUGGGCUUGGAACCGCGCCACCCUUAUCGGGAUAAGUCCUGCAGAAUCCUGCCUGUAGGAACGAAAAUUUUAAGGAUAAGCUUCUAGAGUUUUGUGUUCAGUUUUUAUUCUAGUCGUCGAAAAUUUUAAGCCGAACUAUGAUGGUAGACGUUUCUAGAAGGGAUUUUUGGACCCGGGUUCGAUUCCCGGCAUCUCCACCA
rnacentral:tmRNA from 1 species